rnacentral:tRNA from 1 species
GUUUCCGUAGUGUAGUGGUCAUCACAUUAGCCUUACACUCUAAAGGCCCCAGUUCGAAACUGGGCGGAAACA